UUGGAGGGCAAGUCUGGUGCCAGCAGCCGCGGUAAUUCCAGCUCCAAUAGCGUAUAUUAAAGUUGUUGCAGUUAAAAAGCUCGUAGUUGAAUUUCGAGAUCAGUACGCUGGUCGUGCCUUCGGUAUGCACUGGUGUCACUGGUUUCUCCCUUCUGAAGAACCGUCAUGUCAUUAAGUUGGUGUGGCGGGGAAUCAGGACUGUUACUUUGAAAAAAUUAGAGUGUUUAAAGCAGGCUCGCGCUUGAAUACAUUAGCAUGGAAUAAUGAAAUAGGACGUUUGACCCUAUUUUGUUGGUUUCUAGGAUCGACGUAAUGAUUAAUAGGGAUAGUUGGGGGCAUUAGUAUUCAAUUGUCAGAGGUGAAACUCUUGGAUUUAUUGAAGACUAACUACUGCGAAAGCAUUUGCCAAGGAUGUUUUCAUUAAUCAAGAACGAAAGUUAGGGGAUCGAAGACGAUCAGAUACCGUCGUAGUCUUAACCAUAAACUAUGCCGACUAGGGAUCGGAUGAUGUUAAUUUUUUAAUGACUCAUUCGGCGCCUUACGGGAAACCAAAGUGUUUGGGUUC
rnacentral:rRNA from 1 species